GGGGGGGGGGGUGAGCCUUAAAAUUUUAUUUUAGCUUAUGCUUCCUAUAUUUUCAACCCUUGUGAUGGAAUUGUGUUCACUUGAAGAGGACUCUUCAGGGCCUCCCUUCUUUUCAGAGAUAUUUUAAUAUGAUUAUUAUAUCCCAGUAGACUAUAAGCACUAGAAUCACAUAACUACUUUUUUCAAAAAAUAUCUUAUUCAGCUACUAGUACCUUGCUCUGUAAGAGUUGGAUGUCAGUAAAUAUUUGAUCGACUAAAGAGUGAACAUUAACCCACUUAACAAAUGGCAAAAGAAUUUCAGAGACACUAAGAAUAAAAAGGGUUUUAACUUUUAUAAUUUAAAAUAGGUUUGUCCUCCAUCCCCUUUUAAAAAUUAAUCUCUACUCGUUCAGCUAUAUUGACCUCAUGGAUGGAUACAUUUGUAGCAUGUGUAAAUGUCAGGCUUUUGUUUUUAUUUUUAUUUUUUAUUCUGGAGAAGAGAGGUGGUACAGUUUGGAACAUCAUAAGAAACUGUUGCAUAACUCUCCUUAUUCUUAAAUCUAUCCACCAAGGGCUAAAAACUAAAGGAAUUUAAGCAUUUCAUCUCUCCUUUUUCCUCUUAGAGAGGGAAGAAUAAAGCAAACCCUAAACACCCCAUAUCAUUUUAUUGUAUGGAAAAUCUAUUACUUACUUUUGCUCUUCCUAUUGUUGAAUAUUUGUUUUUCAAUUUUCAGUAUUUUAGCUACAUUUUUAUACAUAUCGAUUAUUGCACAUAUUUCUAGAAAUAAAACUUUUGUGUCAAGGGCAUACAUCAUUAAAAGUCAUUUGAAAUAUGUUGCCAUAAAUUAUUCCUGUUUAUACUCUUACUAGCAAAUUAUGAGGGAGUCCAUUUCCUCAUAUGCUCAUUGGUACUUAAGAAGACUGUUAACAGAAAAAAACAAACUGUAAAAUAAUUUGAAGAGUUUAUUCUGAGCCAAUAUGAGUGACCGUGGCCAGAGGAGACACAAUCUCAGGAGAUCCUGAGAAACUGUGCCCGAGGAUACAUUUCAGGGAGACAGAAAUUGCAGGUAAAAUCAUAAAUCAAUACAUGGACGGUAUACAUUGGUUCGGCUUGAAAAAUUGGGAUAUCUUGAAUAGGGGGCUCAGAAGACAUCGGUGGAGAUUAGAGAUUAGAGAUUCUUUAAUUGGCAGUUGGUUGAGAAAGUUAGGCUUUGUCUGAAAAUUUGUAGUCAAUAGGAAGGAAUAUGGAAGUUAAAAUAAGGGAGUCUAUUAUCUGCCAUGUGAUACCAUGUCAGCAAAAAGGACCUAUUUAAUUAGAUUUUGUGGAUUGUAAGGCAUGACUUAACCCUUCCCUUGCUUGGCCUUAGGUCUUGUUUACAAUUUGGUGUUUUACUGCUGUUUUGUCAGUCUUAUAUCUCUAAGGUUAAUGCUGGUCAAUUGUGUCUAAACUCCAGAAGGGAGGGCGUAUAACAAGACAUGUCUGACCUCCCUUCCCAUCAUGGCCAGGAACUCAGUUUUAGGGUCUUUCUGGGAUACUCUUACUCAAAAGGGAGUCCGUUUAGUUGGUGGGAGGAUUAGAAUUUUAUUUUUAGUUUACAAUAUAUCUGAGUGUAAAAAAGAAAAACAAAACAGCAAAUUUGAUAGAUGUAAAAUGACAUUAUUUUACCAAUCUUUAUCUCACAAAUGUUUUCAAAUGCUACUAUCAAGGAAAUGUUUUUCCUAAAUACCUGUAGUGUAGACCUUCCCCAUCCCUCCUUCUAAUCACAAGACUUUAAAGAAUGGGAUUUUUUUUAGGUGGAAUUUUAGCUUAGAAAAUAAAUUCUUUUUAAAAUUUCACUUUUGGUUGAGUUUUACAGGUUUUCUCCUAGGUAGACAUCGGUAAUGCAUAAUACCAGUGACAAAAGUAGAUCUCAAAUGAGAAACUAUCAUGGAUGGUAAUUCAAUGCCCUCUGCCUGUGCCAACCCCAGGACUGUCUUUAUUGAAUAUAGGUGUUAAAUGUGUGCAUUAAAAGAGUGAGUACCAUAGUUCUUAAUGAGUAACUCAUUAAGUGAUGUUAUCUGUGUCACCUUUUAUGUGUCAGUAGGUGCCACAAAUCACUAUCUAAGCAUAGUGAUGAAAUUAUCUUUUGAAGCUUAAGAAUGCUCAUGCAUAUACAUCAUCAGAGUACCUCCUUAUAAAGGCUUUUAGCUCAUAACUCUGCUGGGGGCAAUCAGAAGUUUGUCAUUAUCUUAUUCAUUUAGAGAGACUUACACACUCUGGGAUUCUGAGCUCAUUUGUGGCACUCACCCUUUACGAGAGGUGUGUAUUUUCUGUGGUGUUGGAAAGGUACUACUUCUGAGCAAAUAGAUUUGAUUCAGUUGGGGUUGCUUCUUAGCUGGUACCAACCAAGUAUAUCAUGUCUCUGAAAGAGUUCAAAGGUUUGCUCAAUAUUCAGGAAAGUUUUACAUAAGUAGAUUUUCUGAAUCAGAAUGAAUUAUUUGUGUUGGCCUCUAUUAGACUGUCUCUAUUUCAUCUUGCUAGACACAGCUGAUGAGAUUAUAUUUUUAAAAGUCCAGUUCUGUGCAAAAGUAGGAAGCUUGCAAGCUGUACCAUGGCCCCUCCAACCUCCUCAGUCAGGACUCCUUUUUCCCCCAACACUGUUUCUUCCUUGAGGGAUUCCUUUGUCACUCUGCACACUUAUCUUUUGUUUUGAGAAGGGUUCCUCUUCUUCCCACCUAUUGGUUAUGAGUCUUUAUUAGGAAGUUAAUUGAUAAUAAGCUAAAAGGUAAUGAAUGGAUUCACUCAGUUUUAUAUCCUGGAUUCCAAAGAAAUGAUCUCAGAACUAUUCUAAUUCUCUAUGAGAAUCUUUAAAAUUUGUUUUCUCUGUUCUAUGACUAAUAUAUUUUCAGUCAAUAUGAUAGACCUUACAAAUUUGAGGAACACGAGGUCCGAUGACAGAGCGUUCUGCCUCCUGUAGCAUUUGUACUGUAAUAUGGAGCCCUUGAAGACUAAAAAGACAAUAAUCUGAAGUCGAUUAUCUUUGUGCAAUAUCAUUGGUUAGUUGUUCAGAGCUCUCUGCCCCCUGGCCUUUCAAGGUAUCUUCAGCUUUCCCUUCCUAGGGCCUACCCCUGGCCUGGCUCAUAGUCACCCUUCAACAAUAGUUUUUUUUGAAUAAAUGAAUUUUAGGGUUUCCCCUCUUUAAAGCCAGUGAUGAAGGUGUAAUGAGUAAUGAACCAGUAUCAUCAAAGUGAGCAUCUGUUGUAAAUCCUUCAGAUUAUUAGUAUAAAGAUGUGAAUGAAUGCAGAGCUGAACAGAGUUGCUGUUAAAGGAGCUAAUGCUUGUCUGCCUCCUCGACAGUAAGGAUCAUCAUUUAUGGCUUUCUUCUUAGCGCACAGUAUUCAGGAAGGCUCGGUGUGCAUGUGAUUGCACUAGCGCCUAUGCCAAGAAAGCACGAGAGAGUUUGUUUGUUCGAUUUAUAGAGUUCCUUUCCACAGGAGAUGAUAGAAGACCAGCCAGGGUAAAGUGGAGUGUAAACCUGAGAUGUGUUGGCAAUUCAAAUGUGGCACCUUCUGUAUAAAGCCAUCCAGCGGUUAUGCUAUUAAAUGUGCAUGUAGCAUCACCUCAUUGAACACUUCCCAAGUAAGACUUAUGGCCUGGAGAGUGACUGUGUCACAUUACACAGCCCUGGAGAGAAUGGGAGGUUCCUGCCCUGGUACAUGCAGUAAUUUAAAAAUUACUCUACAUGUCUUGGAAGACGUCACGAUAAAUUCUCGUGAUAACCCUUCUGAUAACUGUGAAAUUCCUUUGUCUUACCCUUGUAGAAGAAACAGUGAGAUAUAUAACCAUGUAAAGAGCAGAAAGGCCUCAGAUGUGUGACAUAGAAGUCCAAAAGUCAGUUUCCCAAGAUGGCUGCUGGAGCUCUGGCCAUCACAUCUGCAUUGCAGACCGGAUAAAAGAGUGCAAGGCAAGAGGGCUGAAAAGAUUCCCUGCCAGCUGAGUUCAGCUCCCUUUUAGCAGCCUACCUGCAAUUCCCACAUAACACUUCUGGUUACAGCUCAGCCUAAUUGUAAGCAAGCUUGGAAUUUUAGCUUGAGUGACUAUAUAUCUAGCUUAAAACAAGGGUCAUCUAAGAAGGAAAGAGUGAUAUUGGAAUAAGCCAAUGAUAGUCUUGUUUCCACAGGGAAUCUUCAUUUGUCUUGAGUGACUGUGGAAUGUCACAGGAUUUUUGAUUCAUUAGAAACUGCUAACUUAGUCAUUUAUUAUUGGUUACUAGUGAUACAGAUUCAAAAAAUAGGGCUGAGAGAAAUUAAGAUGCACUUAUACACAAAUGGUUAUUAGCAGAAAUUUAGGAGUACUCAGGAUACUAGCCUUUUGAGUUUUCACUUACACAAAACAAAUGGCAGUGCUGAAUGUUAGAAAUGCAGACAUGCAGUUUUGAAUCCUUAGUGAUUGUUCUUUGGGUUCCUUCAUAGUUGUGUAGAUAAGUUAAUGGGGAUCCAGGCUCUUCAGAUUACCUAGGGAGCCAAGGGCUGUUGGCACAAGUGGUUUUGUGAUUAAGAACCUUUGCCUUCCACCAGGAGAAACCAGGCUCUAUGCCAAGUACAGGCUUACAUUGUCCCAUUGAUACAGCCAUCCUGAAAGAUAAAGUCCUCGUUUUAGGUGCUAGAAAGUAAGACUCAGUUUAAAUAACCCAAACUAUUUCUCGGUGUACCUUUUAGAAAUAGAAUAUUGGAUCUGAUAUUCCGUGAAUCUGAACCAGUGUUGGCAGUUCACAAGCUAUUUAAAUAUUAGCUUUGAUUUUCCUGUCUUAGUGAGAGAGAAGAGGUGGUAGGAGGGAAAGAAGGGGAUGCAAGGAGAGAGCCCAGGGAAGUGGAAUGAAGGCCAUGGGCUUAAGAAGUUCCAGUAAUAAAAGAUUCUUUAGCCAAUUUCUCUAUUCAAGGGCCACUUUUCUCACUGAGAAUUUCAAAUUCCUUUCCACUGUUGUUCUGCUCACCUAUAACAGACUUCAAAAUGUAUAGGAACAUUUCUUCUUUCGUGUGUACAAAAAAAAAAAAAAAAAAAAA